rnacentral:piRNA from 1 species
UGCUUGGUGCAUGGAGGUCUACGCCAGU